rnacentral:rRNA from 1 species
GGAGUUAGCCGGUGCUUCUUCUGCGAGUAACGUCACAGAUGUAAGGUAUUAACUUACACCCUUUCCUCCUCGCUGAAAGUGCUUUACAACCCGAAGGCCUUCUUCACACACGCGGCAUGGCUGCAUCAGGGUUUCCCCCAUUGUGCAAUAUUCCCCACUGCUGCCUCCCGUAGGAGUCUGGGCCGUGUCUCAGUCCCAGUGUGGCUGAUCAUCCUCUCAGACCAGCUAGGGAUCGUCGCCUAGGUGAGCCUUUACCUCACCUACUAGCUAAUCCCACCUGGGCUUAUCCAUCAGCGCAAGGCCCGAAGGUCCCCUGCUUUCCCCCGUAGGGCGUAUGCGGUAUUAGCAGUCGUUUCCAACUGUUAUCCCCACAAAUGGGCAAAUUCCCAGGCCAUUACUCACCCGUCCGCCGCUCGUCAUCUUCAAAAGCAAGCUUUUGAAAUGUUACCGCUCGACUUGCAUGUNUUAGGCCUGCCGCCAGCGUUCAAUCUGAGCCAGGAUCAAACUCUGA